rfam:Apaloderma vittatum contig2525, whole genome shotgun sequence.
GGCUGGUUAGCUCAAUAGGUUAGAGCGUGGUGCUGAUACCACCAAGGUCGUGGGUUCGAUCCCCGUUUGGUCCC